rnacentral:rRNA from 1 species
CAGUAGCCGCGGUAAGACGGAGGGUGCUAGCGUUGUUCGGAAUCACUGGGCGUAAAGGGCGCGUAGGCGGCCUGUUAAGUCGGAUGUGAAAGCCCGGGGCUCAACCCCGGAACUGCAUCCGAGACUGGCAGGCUUGAGACCGGGAGAGGAGGGUGGAAUAUCCAGUGUAGAGGUGAAAUUCGUAGAUAUUGGAUGGAACACCGGUGGCGAAAGCGGCUCUCUGGCCCGGAUCUGACGCUGAGGCGCGAAAGCGUGGGGAGCAAACAGGAUUAGAUACCCCGGUAGUCCCUGUCUCUUAUAC